UACGGAGGGUGGAAGCGUUAUUCGGGAUCACUGGGUUUAAAGGGUGCGUAGGCGGCUAAAUAAGUCAGAGGUGAAAGCUUGCAGCUUAACUGCGAAAUUGCCUUUGAUACUGUAUAGCUUGAAAGGAGCUGAGGUCAGCAGAAUGUGGCAUGUAGCGGUGAAAUGCAUAGAUAUGCCAUAGAAUACCAAUUGCGAAGGCAGCUAGCUGGGCUUACUUUGACGCUGAGGCACGAAAGCGUGGGGAUCGAACAGG
rnacentral:rRNA from 1 species